rnacentral:rRNA from 1 species
AGUGAACGCUGGCGGUAGGCCUAACACAUGCAAGUCGAACGGCAGCACAGUAAGAGCUUGCUCUUACGGGUGGCGAGUGGCGGACGGGUGAGGAAUACAUCGGAAUCUACUUUUUCGUGGGGGAUAACGUAGGGAAACUUACGCUAAUACCGCAUACGACCUACGGGUGAAAGCAGGGGAUCUUCGGACCUUGCGCGAUUGAAUGAGCCGAUGUCGGAUUAGCUAGUUGGCGGGGUAAAGGCCCACCAAGGCGACGAUCCGUAGCUGGUCUGAGAGGAUGAUCAGCCACACUGGAACUGAGACACGGUCCAGACUCCUACGGGAGGCAGCAGUGGGGAAUAUUGGACAAUGGGCGCAAGCCUGAUCCAGCCAUACCGCGUGGGUGAAGAAGGCCUUCGGGUUUUAAAGCCCUUUUGUUGGGAAAGAGAAGCAGCAGGUUAAUACCCCGCUGUUCUGACGGUACCCAAAGAAUAAGCACCGGCUAACCUCGUG